rnacentral:rRNA from 1 species
GGACGGGAUAAGCGCUGAAGGCAUCUAAGCGCGAAGCCCCCCUCAAGAUGAGAUUUCCCAUCCAGAAAUGGAGUAAGACCCCAUGAAGAUAAUGUGGUAAUAGGCCUGAGGUGUAAGUGCAGUAAUGUAUUCAGCUGACAGGUACUAAUAGGUCGAGGACUUGACCUC